GCUAUACAUGCAGUCGAGCGGACAGAUGGGAGCUUGCUCCCUGAUGUUAGCGGCGGACGGGUGAGUAACACGUGGGUAACCUGCCUGUAAGACUGGGAUAACUCCGGGAAACCGGGGCUAAUACCGGAUGCUUGUUUGAACCGCAUGGUUCAAACAUAAAAGGUGGCUUCGGCUACCACUUACAGAUGGACCCGCGGCGCAUUAGCUAGUUGGUGAGGUAACGGCUCACCAAGGCAACGAUGCGUAGCCGACCUGAGAGGGUGAUCGGCCACACUGGGACUGAGACACGGCCCAGACUCCUACGGGAGGCAGCAGUAGGGAAUCUUCCGCAAUGGACGAAAGUCUGACGGAGCAACGCCGCGUGAGUGAUGAAGGUUUUCGGAUCGUAAAGCUCUGUUGUUAGGGAAGAACAAGUACCGUUCGAAUAGGGCGGUACCUUGACGGUACCUAACCAGAAAGCCACGGCUAACUACGUGCCAGCAGCCGCGGUAAUACGUAGGUGGCAAGCGUUGUCCGGAAUUAUUGGGCGUAAAGGGCUCGCAGGCGGUUUCUUAAGUCUGAUGUGAAAGCCCCCGGCUCAACCGGGGAGGGUCAUUGGAAACUGGGGAACUUGAGUGCAGAAGAGGAGAGUGGAAUUCCACGUGUAGCGGUGAAAUGCGUAGAGAUGUGGAGGAACACCAGUGGCGAAGGCGACUCUCUGGUCUGUAACUGACGCUGAGGAGCGAAAGCGUGGGGAGCGAACAGGAUUAGAUACCCUGGUAGUCCACGCCGUAAACGAUGAGUGCUAGUGUUAGGGGUUUCCGCCCCUUAGUGCUGCAGCUAACGCAUUAAGCACUCCGCCUGGGGAGUACGGUCGCAGACUGAAACUCAAGGAAUUGACGGGGGCCCGCACAACGG
rnacentral:rRNA from 1 species